rnacentral:rRNA from 2 species
AGGUGGGGGUGCCCGAAAGGGAGCCAUAACACAGGUGCUGCAUGGCUGUCGUCAGCUCGUGUCGUGAGAUGUUGGGUUAAGUCCCGCAACGAGCGCAACCCUUGUCCCUAGUUGCUACGCAAGAGCACUCCAGGGAGACUGCCGGUGACAAACCGGAGGAAGGUGGGGAUGACGUCAAGUCCUCAUGGCCCUUAUGGGUAGGGCUUCACACGUCAUACAAUGGUCGGAACAGAGGGUCGCCAACCCGCGAGGGGGAGCCAAUCCCAGAAAACCGAUCGUAGUCCGGAUCGCACUCUGCAACUCGAGUGCGUGAAGCUGGAAUCGCUAGUAAUCGCGGAUCAGCAUGCCGCGGUGAAUACGUUCCC